AUCGCUUCUCGGCCUUUUGGCUAAGAUCAAGUGUAGUAUCUGAAGGGAAAUAAGGAAGAAUGGAU
ensembl:snRNA LOC120100475 U2 spliceosomal RNA